rnacentral:rRNA from 1 species
UACGGGGGGGGCAAGCGUUGUUCGGAAUUACUGGGCGUAAAGGGCGCGUAGGCGGUUGGAUAAGUCAGCUGUGAAAACCACGGGCUUAACUCGUGGCCUGCAGUUGAGACUGUCUGGCUUGAGUGUGGGAGAGGAGAGUGGAAUUCCUGGUGUAGCGGUGAAAUGCGUAGAUAUCAGGAGGAACACCGGUGGCGAAGGCGGCUCUCUGGACCACAACUGACGCUGAGGCACGAAAGCGUGGGUAGCAAACAGG